UACGUAUGGGGCAAGCGCUACUCGGAUUUAUUGGGCGUAAAGCGAAUGUAGGCUGUCUAUUAAGUCAGUGGUGAAAUCCCUCGGCUCAACCGAGGAAUUGCCUUUGAUACUGGUAGACUAGAGGACAGGAGAGGAAAGUGGAAUUUCCGGUGUAGCGGUGGAAUGCGUAGAUAUCGGAAGGAACACCAGAGGCGAAGGCGGCUUUCUGGACUGUACCUGACGCUGAGAUUCGAAAGCUAGGGGAGCGAACAGG
rnacentral:rRNA from 1 species